rnacentral:rRNA from 1 species
AACGCGAAGAACCUUACCUACCCUUGACAUCCUCGGAACCCUUUAGAGAUAGAGGGGUGCCUUCGGGAACCGAGAGACAGGUGCUGCAUGGCUGUCGUCAGCUCGUGUCGUGAGAUGUUGGGUUAAGUCCCGUAACGAGCGCAACCCCUAUCCUUAGUUGCUAGCAGGUAAAGCUGAGAACUCUAGGGAGACUGCCGGUGACAAGCCGGAGGAAGGUGGGGAUGACGUCAAGUCCUCAUGGCCCUUACGGGUAGGGCUACACACGUGCUACAAUGGACGGUACAAAGGGCAGCAAAGCCGCAAGGUGGAGCGAAACUCAACAAAGCCGUUCGUAGUCCGGAUUGGAGUCUGCAACUCGACUCCAUGAAGUUGGAAUCGCUAGUAAUCGUGGAUCAGAACGCCGCGGUGAAUACGUUCCCGGGCCUUGUACACACCGUACGUC